rnacentral:lncRNA from 1 species
CCGGCCCGGACCGUUCAUUGCAUCUAUGAUCUACCCUCUAUUAUUACUCAUUUACCCUAACUAUCCCCUCACCCUCUCUCUAUCCCGUCUCCACUCUCCUCCCUCGAUCUCUCCUCCCUCUCGAUCUCUCUCGAUCUCUUCCCUCUCGAUCUCUCGAUUUCAUAGAAGAUGACUAACGCCAGAGACGAACCGGGUGGAAGCAACAGCGGUGGCGGUGGAGGCGGAUUUCAUAGAGAGCAAGCAAAGACCUAGAAUCCAAUUGGGAACUCGAUUAUUUGCUCUGAUGAAAUACCCACUGAAGAAGAAGGCCAUGUCGCUAUUAAUUUCACAGAAGUUGUUCCUUUUGCUUCGGACUACUAUUUUUCUUUUAAAUUUUUUUACUUUAGGAAUUGUUUGUGAUGAUUUUUGUUGGGUGUAGCUGCGUUGUAGCUACUUUAUCAAGGUUCGGUCCUCCAAAAAGGGGUUGGUGGCGUUUCUUUCCCCCCCAUUUUAAUUCUUUUUUUUUUUCGAUUUUAUUGUAAAUUUAUAUAAUUUGAAUAUUUUGCUUCGUGGCGUUGGUAUUUUUUCUAAAGUUUAUGAUAUUAUUUCUGUAAAGAUUUGUUCUUUGUGGAUAUGCACCCAGAUAUGUGCAUUUGUGUGUGUGAUUUUUUUCCUUGAGCGAUUUGAGGAUGUUGAGGAAGGCGAUGAGGUCCUAGAGCGAUUUGAGUCUAUGUGGGGGACGAGCGCAUUGAAUCGUUUGGAAAUGGCGGGGCAGCGGAUGAGGGUCUUGAUGUCGAAGACCGAGUCGAACAUCGGGAGGAAGAUCGAGAGGAUGAGCAAGUCCGGGAGGCGAUCAAAAUCGGAAAAAAAAAAAAAAGUAAAAGGACCCGUGGACCCGUCCCAAACCGACCCGUUUCAAAUGGGCCGGGUUAGGUCCGGUUCCAAUGAUCAAAUUUACAAUACCCGGCCCGGCCCGUCCCGUUUCCUAUUUAAGCAGGUCCGGUCCGGUCUCUCUAAAUUUGGGCCCGGCCCGGCCUGUGCCCACCCCUAGUUUUAACGAAACACUCUCUAUACUGUUCACUUUUAACGAAAAUGACAUUUUUAUUCUAAAAAAUCAUUCAUGAUACUAUUCACUUACAACAUCUUUUUGUCAUUUUGAUUAAAACUCAAAAUUAUUAAAUUUUUUUUAUUAGUUUCCCUAAAAAAAAAAAAAAACUCUUGAUUGAGUGGGUUUGAUUAUAAGAAUUACAUUUUCUUUUCUUUUCUUUUUUCCAUAAAAGAGACGACGACAAGCUAGCUAUCUUAUCUGACAAAUUUGACACAAUACUUGGCUACUAAAAAAUUAGUAGAAAUUCUUACUUAAAAAUUUUCAAAAUUAUUCGUUGUCAAUUUAUAGAAUUUCGUGUUUAUCAUCAUAACCGAUAAAUGACUCUAUAAAGAUCGUAUUUGUAAAAAAUCAAUUAACACUAAGAUUGUUUAGGCAUCAAACUGUUUUAAAAUAAAUAUACGGUAUUGGUAAAAGCAUUACGAACCGUCUAUGUACUUGCUAUAAUAGAUUGACUAAACGUCCUUAGUUUUAAUUUAUUUUUUGCAGAUAUAAUCUUUACAGUGUGAUUUAUAGUGUGAACGGUUCUGAUUAUAAACACAAAACUCUGUGAUUAAAACACUAAAAAUUUUGAGUAUUAGUUCCUACUCAUUUUUUAGUAGCCAAGUAUUGUUCUCAAAAUUUUACGUGGCAUUUUUUGUCACCUAUCUCAAAGUUUGACGCCUGUUAUUAACUCUACUUUUAAACACUGUUAAUUCUUUGAAAAAAAUUAAAAAAGAAAAAACAUGAAAAGUUAAACCUAGAAGCCCAACCGUUCCUGCCACUCCCACUCCCACUCAGUGUCGACCACCACCAUGGCAUCCCACAAAGCUUCCUCUUCUUCUCCUCACUGAGAAUCUCGUCGUCUCUUUCCAGAUCCCCGAUACUACCAUACCCACUUUACAGUGGCCCGCCAUAUCCGGGUCCAGAUCCUUAACCCCCAACACUUCACCAACGAGCUCGACAAAGGCAAUGACGAUUCUCCAAUUUCAACACCCAGUGGACCACCAUGGCGAUGGUCUGGGUUCUUCACAUUACAUAUAUAUUUUUUUUAUUCUUAGUGUUUUUAAGUGAGUUAAAGAGCGUUUAAGUGUAGAGUUAGCAGUUGACAAGUCACAAAGAGUUUUGGAUGCAAAAGAUUUGAAGUCGCACUAGCAUUAAGAUUAAAUAAAAAAUUAACCACACAAUAUAUGAUAAUUGAUUAGGAUGUAAAGAUUCUUAACAUACUCUCAAUUUGAAUUCGAACAGGAUCCAAAUCCGUCUAGAAUUAGGAUUAGGGGUGGUCAAUAUUAAUUGUUUUCUAAGUUAGAAAUUCCUUUUAUAAAAAGAACUUGCACACAUCACACGUGUGAGCGUAUUUUAUGUCACAAUUCAAUACACAACUCAUGGCACACGCAGCAACCAAAAAGAAAAAACAUCUCACCAUCUUCCAUUCCCACUAAGUCACUAUUCCAAUCAUUUUACUUUUUAUCUUACACCAAAAGGUAUUUGUUUGACCAAAUCAUGUAUACAUAACAUCUUAGGAAGGCUGCAAACAAAAAGAAAAAUCGAAUAUUUAUCCAAAAAGAGUAUGAAACGUUCCAAAAUAUUCCGGUUUUUUAUAUUUAUUUACCAAAAUUAUGUUUUGCAAUCAAGUUUUGUAUUUUAUUGUUAAUUUUGAAUGCACUUUGUUUAUUGUUUUUAUGUUAAUCAUACACUUAUAUAUUAAAAAUAAAAAGCAUAUAUCACAAAAUAAACUGGAUUUAUAUAUAAGCAUAAAUUUGGUCAAACAAUAAACUGGAUUUAAAUAUUGAGAAAUAACAAUAAAUUUGUAAGUACGAAAAAGUUCAAGAAUAUUAAAAAAACUUGUAAAAGAAAUGAAUUUCUAAAUCAUGUUUCCAAAUUUAUGAGAUUACUCUGAAUUCAAAUAUUCUAAAACUUUCGAAUUUAAAAAUUGUGAUCCGAUCUGACUUAAUUCUACAAUUUAAAAAAAAUGAAAACGUUUUGUUUCCAAUUCAUUCAUCUGACAAUCAACCCCAACUGAUUGAAUCCAAUCAAACUGCCCAAUAACACAGUCAAUUAACUUUCCAGAGGGAGGCCGAAAUACCUCUUCGAGUCUUCUCGACCUCAGAAUGAUAGAUUGCUACGACGAAGCCACCAACUGGUCCACUUUAAAAAAAUUAAAUAAAAUCAUCUUUCUAGGGCUUGGAGCUCAACUCAUCUAUGCGAACUCUCUAUUUUUAAAAUUCAAACGUAAGAUCACUCACUUACAAAUGAAGAAGAAUAUCACUAGACUGUUUUACUAAGUAGCUUUUCAAAUGCAUUACAUACUCUAAUGUUCAUUUAUUUACCAUAAAUGUAUUGUGUUUGCGUUGUAUGAAAUAAUGCUAAACUUAAACCCAAUUUGUUAACCACCAAUACCUAUAAUUUAUCGUGCAAAAUCUUAUCGUUUUAUUGCGUUGUAUAUUACUAUCACAUCAACUUCUGACUUAGAUGCAUUCAAUCCACGAAAAUCGAAAUUCACUUUGAAAUUUGAAGAUUAAUUUGGUACAUGAAAUAAUUUACCAAACAAAGAUUCAGUAAAAAGUGACUACAAAUACAACCAAUGGGUAAAUAAUGUAUGAGAACCAGUACAUCCUAAAAUACAUCUUGUAUACGGUCAGAGGGAAGAAACCACUAAAUCGUAGUACUAAAUGAUAUGUAUUUGUUAAAAUCCACAAAAAAUUCACUUUUCUCGUUCAAUUCUUCCAUUUUUUUUCUUCCUACCUGCUACCACUAUUUAUUUUCAUUUCCAAAUUUUCAUGAUGUCAAACCAUCGUAUUAGAAAACCUAAUUGGUCAAUGAUGAAGAUAAAAAGGAGUUCUGGUGAACGUCGUUGACAAGAAUGGGUUGGUUGUGUUAUUUUUCAUAAUUUAUCGGAAUUUGAAUUUGGAGGUUAAAUGUUCAUAAGUUGAGAAAUUAUUACCUCAAAAUGAGUUAGGUGCCACGCACAUGAAACUAAAUUAAAGGGCAAUAUGAAAAACUAAAUGAGAAAAUUGUAGCAAUAGUCUUUCAACUUUAACCUUAAUAGGAGAAAUGAUCCCUUAACUUUAGCCCAAUUGAAACAAUAGUUCCUCAAUUUUAACUCAAUUUUAGUAAUGUUCUUCUAACAUGGCUCAUUUUGACAGAAGUUAUGACGGAGUUGACGAAAAGAACCAUAGUUGUACUUUUUGGUGUGUUAAAGGACAAAUGGUAAUAUAUUUUUAAUUGAGGGAGCAUCGCUUCAAUUGGAUUAAAGUUGCGGUACCAUUAUAACUUAAAUGAGAUAAACCACACACAGUAAAAGCAAUUUACAUUGUAACAGCAUCGUCGUCAUCCUGUCCAUGUUGAGAUUUUGUUUGAACUGUUUAAAUUUGAGAUGCAGAUACCCUCCUUGGCAAAAGUCUCCUUGAAUUGCAGAUUUGCGAUGGCACAAAAUAAUAAGUAGGUGAUUAACUAACUUGUAGCUAAUCGUGCUGAUAUGACAGUAAGUACCAGAAAGAAAAAACACGAUGAACCAACUCGGGAGUCGAGCACAAGUUCACAAACACAACAAACUCGCAAUCUAAAUCCCAUUGCAGCUGAGCAAUAUAUAACGUCAAGGAAUUAUCCGAAGAUCGCUUAACCGUAGCAAGAGCACUCUCAGGGAGCAAUCUCAUUCUUUUUUUCUGUCCAGGAGUCCAUUUCUAUCUCUUUCUCUUGUAUUACUUCCAGCUAGAACUGAAUGCGGAAAAUAUGGGAAAGCAUCUCGUGAUGUAUUUAACCAAAAAAGUUGUGAUGCUUCCACAUUCUCAAGUGAUUUAGACCCUUUUGUACGCACAUCUAAUUCCCAUUCCGUUUGAAGAUCGAAGCUAUAUGAAGCAAAUGGCAAUGGCUUCGUUUCCUCUGAAUGAAUGAGCUUAAUUAAAAACUGAAUAACAAAUGGCAUAGGCUUCCUUAAUUAAUUAGGUCCAAACUUGUAACAAAGAAAGGAAUAACAUCCCUAACUAAAAGAUUAUACGUAAAAAUUAAAAACUGAAUAAGCUUAAUUUCAGUAAAUGAAUCCAUAAUACUCAUCAUCCAUAUAUUAUAAUCUAGGGGAUACCCAAAUACAUAAUAUACCAAAUAGUUUUCAAAUUCGGAGCAGAACAGGAAAUUAUGUCAAGAGAUGAUGAAUGCGAACGGAACAUAGAGCAUCAACCCAAUGACAAUGCCAAGUUGCCAACGGAGUCCACGAUGAGCAAGUGAGCAAAUCAGUCCACAACAGCAAGAGCUUGAAACUGUUUGUCCGAGAAGGCUGCUUCCAUGACAUGGUGCGGGCCAAUAUCCCCACCAUUCUCCAAGAAGGACCUGACCAAAUUAUUAGACCAGCCACCCAAUAGCGUCACCCCUGGACGAGGCAAAGCGAUCGAAGGAAAUUCCCAGCACCAAAUAUCCCAAAUCAGAAUGUGAGGCACCGCAUCAUCCCAUACCCUUUGUCCUUAAACAUGGUCCUUAAUGGCCUCGUACUGAGUCUCCCAGGCUGCGCUAUCAAAAAAAAUCAGAGCCCAUGUUGUAGUUGAAGAUAAAGAGCUUCUGGAUCAUCUGAUCUGGCUUCAAAAUUCUCAUUGACAGUCACUUGGAGAAUCAAAUCAAAUACCUUUCGCAAAUGAACUACCAGGCGGCCGUCCAUUCCCAUCGUUGCAGGGUACUGAAUACAGAUGAGGAAGACGAAAUAACAGAGCGUGGUCGUCCCCGGCAGCAGCCGGAAGAGGAGCGGAACUGAUCAGCUUUCCUUUCCAGGCCGGCUCUUCAUUCAGUUCACUCACAAAAAGUCCCAAACUCGCCGUCAAUUCCCUAGCCCCGCCCAUAAUUCUGUUCAUGUUACAUACAGCGAAGCAGUUUCUGAAUUUGCCACCCUCCUUGUGCUUGCGCAGCAAUGCAUUCCACUGAAGCUCAGCCGCCUCCCCAACAUUCGCAUCUUUCAAAUAUCGUAUGAUAAAAUGUGGAAGCAAAGCAUCGGGCUCUAUGACGAAACUUAAAUUGCCUUUGCUUGCUGUUGUUGCUGAGGCUUUCACCUGCUCCAAAUAUUUAAUAUCCACACCCCACCGUCUCGGGUUGAACCUGCCCUGACGCUUAUUGUACUUCUGCAAGGGCGCCAAGAACUCCUUCCUCAGCCGCUCCCACUGAUCAUCCUCCUUUGAUGAUUGGUCUGGUUGUUGCGAUUGCGACACCAAAGAGAAGAGCCGCCUGGCAGUGCUUUCGCUAAGCGCAAUGGCGCGGAUGGCAUGGGCGUCUGUAAAAAUAUAUUUGAUUAUUUUGACUUAAAUUGAAAAGGAUACAAAAGGCCUUUUUAUACAGACUCAUUCUCUUGGAAGAGAAUUAACCUAGCCUACAAUUUAGCUAUACAAAAAAGGAAGAUUUUGUACAAAUCAAUUACAGACUUUGUUUCCUAUUCUAAGCUAAGAUAUCAGGGAUCUUGAUAUCAUUGACUUCUCAACACUCCCCCUCAAGUUGGAGAGUGAACGCCGAGAACUCCCAACUUGCGUAUGAUGGAUAAGAAAGCCUCCUUUCCUAAUGCCUUUGUGAAAACAUCUGCAAGCUGGUUUGAAGAGGGAAUGUAUCUUGUGACAACCGAACCAUCUUGUAUCUUGUCUCGAAUAAAAUGACAAUCAAUCUCUAUAUGUCUAGUUCGUUCAUGAAAAACUGGAUUAGCAGCUAUAUGGAGCGCCGCUUUGUUGUCACAAUGUAGCAAGGCCGGUUUUGGGUGAAGCAAACCUAGAUCCUUCAGAAGAUAUUGAAGCCAUGACAGUUCACAACAAGUUCCAGUCAUGGCUCUAUAUUCGGCCUCUGCUGAUGAUAAAGAAACGGUCUUUUGUCUCUUUGACCUCCAAGAGAUCAACGAAGAACCCAAAAAGACGCAAUAACCUGUAGUUGACCUUCGUGUCGUAGGACAUCCUGCCCAGUUUGAAUCACAAUAUGCACUUAAGUUUAAGUUGUUUUGAGAAGAGAAAAAACAAACCCUAUCCAGGCGUACUCUUCAAGUAUUUCAGGAUUCGGAGAGCUGCUUCCAUGUGCGGUUGUCGUGGUUCAUGCAUGAAUCGGCUCAACACAUGCACGGGAUAAGUGAUGUCUGGCCUUGUAAUAGUUAAAUAGAUCAAUCGACCAACCAACCUUCUAUACUUUGCCGGAUCUUUAAGCAACUCACCAGUGUUAGAAAGUUUAACAUUCUGCUCCAUAGGAAACUCCACUGGGCGAGCUCCCAAAAGACCACUAUCUUUCAAAAUUUCUAAAGCGUAUUUUCGCUGAGAAAUAAAGAUCCCUUUCUUUGACUGAGAAACCUCUAUUCCCAUAAAGUACUUCAAGUUACCAAGGUCCUUGAUUUUGAAGUGACCAUGAAGAAAUCUUUUAAGAGCAUUAAUUCCUUCAUGAUCAUUGCCAGUGAUCAAAAUAUCGUCAACAUAGAUCAGGAGGGCUAUAAAGGAUUGCCCUUGCUGCCUCGUAAACAAAGAAUAAUCUGCCUUUGAUUGGAUAUAACCAGCGGAUUUAAUUGCUUCUGAAAACUUUGCAAACCAUUGCCGGGACGCUUGUUUCAAGCCGUAGAGGGAUUUAUUAAGGCGACACACGAUAUUCUCCCCCCCUGUCGCCGAAGACCAGGAGGAAGGGUCAUAUAGAUUUCUUCAUGAAGAUCACCAUGAAGAAAGGCGUUGUGGACAUCAAGUUGGUGGAGAGACCAGUUGCGGGCAGCAGCGAGGGCUAACAAACAACGAACAGUGACCAUCUUAGCAGUAGGGGGAGAAGGUAUCGUGAUAAUCAACACCUUCAAGUUGAGUGUAACCCUUGGCUACAAGGCGAGCCUUAUAACGUUCAAUAGAACCAUCAGAACGAUGUUUGAUCUUAUAAACCCAACGACAACCAAUGGGAGUUUUGCCGACAGGGAGAGGAGUGAGUGUCCAAGUAUUAGUGGCCUCCAAAGCACGGAGUUCAGAGUCCAUGGCAGCAUGCCAAUGGGAAUGAAGAGCAGCCUGAGCAUAAGUGUGAGGUUCGACCUGCCGACUGAUAGAAGCAAGGAAAGAUUUUUGUUGAGGUGAGAAACGAUGAUAAGUGAGAAAAUUAGCAAGAGGAUACCUUGUACCGGUGGUAGGACCUGUCGACGAAGAUGAUGAAUCGAUUGGUUGGGUAGAAGGCAAAGUAGGGCAAACAUAAUCACUGAAGCGAGCGGGAGGAGCUGAGCGACGGUCAGAGUGGCGAAGCACGGGUGCAGAGGGCACGGAAGGUGCUGGAGGCACGGGCGCUGGGAGCGCUGAUAUGGCAGGAUCAGGUACAGAGGGAGAUGUAGCAUCAGACGCGGGAGGAAAAGACUCAACAGGUGACACGGUGACACGGGAGAAACAAUGGGUGCGGAAUGAUCAGUGUAGUCAAGAAGGGGUUGAGGUAAGACAGGUCCUGGUUGGUCAUCGGAUGGGGAUUGAUGUUGGUAAGGGAAAAUAUNNNNNNNNNNNNNNNNNNNNNNNNNNNNNNNNNNNNNNNNNNNNNNNNNNNNNNNNNNNNNNNNNNNNNNNNNNNNNNNNNNNNNNNNNNNNNNNNNNNNNNNNNNNNNNNNNNNNNNNNNNNNNNNNNNNNNNNNNNNNNNNNNNNNNNNNNNNNNNNNNNNNNNNNNNNNNNNNNNNNNNNNNNNNNNNNNNNNNNNNNNNNNNNNNNNNNNNNNNNNNNNNNNNNNNNNNNNNNNNNNNNNNNNNNNNNNNNNNNNNNNNNNNNNNNNNNNNNNNNNNNNNNNNNNNNNNNNNNNNNNNNNNNNNNNNNNNNNNNNNNNNNNNNNNNNNNNNNNNNNNNNNNNNNNNNNNNNNNNNNNNNNNNNNNNNNNNNNNNNNNNNNNNNNNNNNNNNNNNNNNNNNNNNNNNNNNNNNNNNNNNNNNNNNNNNNNNNNNNNNNNNNNNNNNNNNNNNNNNNNNNNNNNNNNNNNNNNNNNNNNNNNNNNNNNNNNNNNNNNNUUUUUGGUAUUGACAUUUAGGUACAUACAUUUUCAGUAUUAACAUUUAGGUACAUUAAUUCAAUAUAAUAUACAUUUCGGUACAUACAUUUAGGUUCAUUAUAAUAUAUUUCGGUACAAUCAUGUCGGUACAAAUAUUUCAGUACAAAAAAAGUCAAUUUUAUAUAUUUUGGCAUAAUCAUUUCUCUGUACACUUAUGUAUUUAUAUAUUUUUUGUAUCACAAAUUUCUUUUAAUAUUUUCUCAUUUACAUUCAUUUCUAAUUAAAAAAACUAAAUAUGAGCAUAUUAAUAAAAUUAAAAUUUAAUAUGGAGAGAUUAAAUAAAAAUAAACAUUAAAUAACAAAAAUUGAAUGUAAAUUUUGAUAAAAGUACAUUCAAGGGAUUAAAUUGAAUAUUUAAUCUAGCACUAGGUUUUUUUUAAAUUUUAAUCUUUUGCAAGGACUAAUGUUCAAAAACCCCAAAUUUAUAUGAUGUUGAGUAAAUCAAAGCUUUUGCAUAAAAAUUUAAAUGAUGUUGAGUUUCUAUGCUAACUACCAAUUGGUUUUUAAAUUGAAUUGAAAAAUUCAGAUGAACAUAUAUUUCUUUUGCAUGAAUAAUGUGGUUUUCUAAAAUAAAAGUCCACCCGAAAUAAAGCAUGCCAGUGUAAGAAAGGGAACCCUUUUCUCAUCAAAGCUGCAUUUGUUAUAGAAAAGUUCUGAGAAAAUUGGUAAUUGAAAAAGCAAGACUUGAAGCUUCAACACAAGCAAUGAUGGAGAGUCCAGCAGUCCCAACACAUUAGAAUAUAGUAGACUUUUGUAGUUAGUCAAAUGGCUGACAAACAAAGCGAUUACUGACUUCCUUUUGAAAUGAAGGUCAUCAUCAUCCACCAAACCCUUUGGGGUGAUCAUGCAACGUCAAUGGAACAUCUACCUGUUUUCUAUACUAUAUAUGAUCUACUUUUCUUUUUUUCAUAUUCCGAGUUUCUAGUUCAACAAAUUCAUCCGUUGAAAUUCUGUUUAGCUUAACUUAUUACUCGUAUAACAAUAAGGCAUAUAGUCUAAUGAUACUAAUUCUCUCAAACCAUCUCUGGAUAGAGGUAAGACCUAUUUGUAUUGUGAACCAUACAUUUAUUAGAGACAUAAUUAAGAUGCGAUAUACAAUGUGAUCUUUCUCUAGCAUUAUUCGAAAACUAUUUACAUAUCCUAUAGUUUGUCCGUUACGACCACGCUCACUACAAGUUUACCUCAUUUCAACCCGUGACAACAAAAAAUCAGUUCAGUCAGUGAAUCAGUGGAGCCCUAACCCUCUUUCGUCUGUGUCGCAGGUUGGGUGGUUGAGGGAAGGGAAAGGAAAGGGAAAGGGGAGUGAGCGCGAUCAAACGAGAUGAAGAGGGAGAGAUCGACGACGAAGGGAGAGUUCGAAAGGAGAGAAGCUAGAGAGUGGGAGCGGCAAAAGGAGAAGAGUGAACGCGUUAGGUAUAAGAGAAAGAGACCGGAGUAGGAUUGUCUGUAUGAAAGUUUCAUUAACCAGUAUAGUUCAUCCGCUUCAUGUGAAAAAAAACUAUAGUUUCAGAAGUACGGGUAGAGCUGCUUCUGCAUAUGCUGUUUUGGACCCAUGAUUUGGAAAGAAUAAAAAAACACUUUUUUUUAUUUACCAAACACAAGUUUAGCUCAAACUUUUUUCAAAAAAAAAUUUGUUUUUUAAAAAAUUUCAACAAUAUCAAAUCAGCUCUAAGUAUAAUGAACAAGUUGUACGUUGUGUAAUAUAAAUCGGUUGUUAUAUAAUACUUUAAUUAAAUUCGCAUAUGUAGUUUAUUCAGGCAUUUAGAUAUAGAUGCCUUAGCAUUCUAUUUCUUUUUAUAAACAUUUAGUGUGCUAUAGGUUUUAGAUUAAACCACCUCUAAAAUGGAGCCAUAUGGUAUAGUUUAUAAAAGCUACAAGAAAUGGGUAUCCUACAUGAAAAGUACGCAGUAUUAUUGGGCAACUUUGCUAAGAGAUUUUUUGAAAACUUUGGUACUUAAAUUUUGUGUAUUAUUGAAAAUAUAUGUAAACAACGUGUACUAAAUGUAAAACGUAUGCGUGUACAUAUAUCAUGGAGUUUUAAAAAACAUCAUAUUAUAUAAGCAAAUUGUUAUUGAUAUUCUAAAAAUCUAAUUGUGUACUCCAAACUUUUUAUAUUUGGAAAGCAAAAUAAUCUUAUGAAGAAUGUACAAUUAGAUUUUUUGAAGUAUUAAUAAUAAUUCUCUUACACUAUGUUUGGAUGAGGGAAAUAAACUUGAAAUUUGGAUUAAAGUCGGAAUUUAUAAAUUGACAUGCACAAAUUCUCUUGUUUGGAUUCAUAAAUAUAAAAAUUUAGAAUUUCCGCGUGGAAAAUAAAUUUGGAAUUUGGGAUCACCAAUUUCCAAGUUUAAAUUCUAUGUAAAUACGUGUCAUUUUUUCAAUUUCUAUAAUUGAAAGUUUAAAAAUAACAAAUUUUUUGUAUUCAAUUACAUUGGUCUUUUAGAUUAACCAAACAAGAAAAUUCACAAAUUCUAGGAAAUAAAAUCCCGACAUUUCAAUUUCUGUCAUUUUAAAAUUCUUUAAUAAUUUUAAAUUUCUUCAUCCAAACAUAGUGUUAUUGAACAAAUGAAUAAACUACAUAGAAAAAUCUAAUUAAAUAAUAUUAAAAUAUUACAGGUCCCAAGAAUGAACAAUCAAUCUCUGAACGACUCACCACUGCAAUCACAAUACUCGAGUCUCCUUCCAAAACCAAAUUUGAAUUAGCAGUUUGGAAUUCCACUAGAAGCUCUGUUGCACGUCUAGCCGCAAGCAUUUCAGCAUGGGAAACCUAUGUUCCCCGAUGUGGAACAUGGAGUCUCAAAAACUCCAAUAAACAUAUGACAUAUGAGUGUCUAGUAAGAAACUUUUCUUAACUACUUGAGUUAUAAACUCAUUAUCAGAAUUUCUAAGAACCCGCUACCAUAAAUAUAUUGGACACUUGAACUUGUAACAAAUUCAUUAUCUGUGUAAGUUGAAUAUGAAAUCUCCCACUCACAAAUAGAGAGAAUUAACAUCAUCAGACCAUACUAUUAGUGGUUAUAUGCGUAAUAAGUUAUGGUAAACAUAAUUUGAACGGACGAAUUUGUUGAACAAGAAACUUGGAAUAUGAAUGCACAUAUAAUAGAAUGAUUUUAUUCCAUGUCCAUAGUUUGGUUCAUAAAAAAAGAAAUAGAAUGUAUAGAAAACAGGUAGAUGUUCCAUUGACGUACGUUGCAUGAUCACCCCCACCCCCAAAGGCCAAAUUAAGGGUUUGGUGGGUGAUGGCCUUCCCUUCAAAAGGAAGUCAGCAAUCACUAUGUUUGUCAGCCUUUUGACUAACUACAAAAAGUCUACGAUAUUCUGAUGUGUUAGGACUGCUCGACUCUGUCCAUUGUUGCUUGUGUUGAAGCUUCAAUCUUGCUUUUUCAGUUACCAGUUUUUUUUCAAAACUUUUAUAUUAAAAUAUGCAUAAAAUGCAGGUUUGAUGAGAAAAUGGUAAUUGGUUCCCUUAAACAUAAUUGACGUUGCAUGAUCACCCCAAAGGGUUUGGUGGGUGAUGGCCUUCCUCUCAAAAGGAAGUCAGCAAUCACUAUGUUUGUCAGCCAUUUGACUUAACUACAAAAAAAGUCUACAAUAUUCUAAUGCGUUGGUUGGUACUGCUUGACGAUCUGUCCAUUGUUGCUUGUGUUGAAUCUUCAACUCUUGCUUUUUCAGUUACCAAAUUCUUUUUUUUUUUCAAAACUUUUGUAUAUACAAAUGCAGCUUUGAUGAGAAAAGGGUUGCUUUGUUUCGGGUCUUGUUUUACUUUAGAAAACCACAUUAUUCAUGCAAAAAAAAGAUAUCAUUCAACUGAAUUUUUUAAUUCAAUUUAAAAACCAAUUGGUAGUGAGUAUAGAAACUAAACAUCGUUUAAGUUUUUAUUCAAAAGGUUUGAUUUCUCGAUAUGGACCUUCGACCUUCGAUUACACACAACUCAAACACAUGAAUUGUGUGUUUUGAUACCAUGUUAAAGUUCAACUAAUAAACUCAAAAGUAUUAUUCAUGAAUAAAAAACCCAAAAUUAUUUAAAUUGUUGUUGUAUUUGAACCACAAUUGUUAACAGUUCUGCGUGUUUGGUCAACAAAAAAAAUGGAGUUUUAACUAGGGGUGGGCAAACGGUUCCUGGAUCCGUGGGGCGGGCCGGUUCUUUGCGGUUAGGGGCGGGUAUGGGACGGGUCUAAAAAUUACAAAUACAAAACGGGCUAGGCCGGGCCGGUUCCUUAUAAAUAACGGGGCAGGCCGAUUCAAAAAAUUGGAAAAAAGGGGCCCCCGGCCCGGACCGUUCAUUGCAUCUAUGAUCUACCCUCUAUUAUUACUCAUUUACCCUAACUAUCCCCUCACCCUCUCUCUAUCCCGUCUCCACUCUCCUCCCUCGAUCUCUCCUCCCUCUCGAUCUCUCUCGAUCUCUUCCCUCUCGAUCUCUCGAUUUCAUAGAAGAUGACUAACGCCAGAGACGAACCGGGUGGAAGCAACAGCGGUGGCGGUGGAGGCGGAUUUCAUAGAGAGCAAGCAAAGACCUAGAAUCCAAUUGGGAACUCGAUUAUUUGCUCUGAUGAAAUACCCACUGAAGAAGAAGGCCAUGUCGCUAUUAAUUUCACAGAAGUUGUUCCUUUUGCUUCGGACUACUAUUUUUCUUUUAAAUUUUUUUACUUUAGGAAUUGUUUGUGAUGAUUUUUGUUGGGUGUAGCUGCGUUGUAGCUACUUUAUCAAGGUUCGGUCCUCCAAAAAGGGGUUGGUGGCGUUUCUUUCCCCCCCAUUUUAAUUCUUUUUUUUUUUCGAUUUUAUUGUAAAUUUAUAUAAUUUGAAUAUUUUGCUUCGUGGCGUUGGUAUUUUUUCUAAAGUUUAUGAUAUUAUUUCUGUAAAGAUUUGUUCUUUGUGGAUAUGCACCCAGAUAUGUGCAUUUGUGUGUGUGAUUUUUUUCCUUGAGCGAUUUGAGGAUGUUGAGGAAGGCGAUGAGGUCCUAGAGCGAUUUGAGUCUAUGUGGGGGACGAGCGCAUUGAAUCGUUUGGAAAUGGCGGGGCAGCGGAUGAGGGUCUUGAUGUCGAAGACCGAGUCGAACAUCGGGAGGAAGAUCGAGAGGAUGAGCAAGUCCGGGAGGCGAUCAAAAUCGGAAAAAAAAAAAAAAGUAAAAGGACCCGUGGACCCGUCCCAAACCGACCCGUUUCAAAUGGGCCGGGUUAGGUCCGGUUCCAAUGAUCAAAUUUACAAUACCCGGCCCGGCCCGUCCCGUUUCCUAUUUAAGCAGGUCCGGUCCGGUCUCUCUAAAUUUGGGCCCGGCCCGGCCUGUGCCCACCCCUAGUUUUAACGAAACACUCU